rnacentral:rRNA from 1 species
CGCAUCUGUGCAUGCAGCAUAUCAAUAAGCGGAGGAAAAGAGGGCUAUUACCUACGCUUAGGAUGUUGACGCGCGUGUGUGCGUGAGUCUAUACAUGACUCUGCGCAUAUCAAUAAGCGGAGGAAAAGAAACUAACAAGGAUUCCCCUAGUAACGGCGAGUGAAGCGGGAAGAGCUCAAAUUUGAAAUCUUAAAGGGUUUCCCUUUACGAAUUGUAGUUUAAAGAAGUGUUUUCUGUUGAGGUUUUGGUAAAAGUUCUUUGGAAUAGGACAUCAUAGAGGGUGAGAAUCCCGUAUUUGACCUUUACUUUCAACUUUGUGAUACACUUUCAAAGAGUCGGAUUGUUUGGGAAUGCAGUCCAAAAUGGGUGGUAAAUUUCAUCUAAAGCUAAAUAUUGGCGAGAGACCGAUAGCGAACAAGUACCGUGAGGGAAAGAUGAAAAGAACUUUGAAAAGAGAGUUAAACAGUACGUGAAAUUGUCAAAAGGGAAGCGUUUGACAGCCAGUGUUGUUUUUCUGAAAAUCAAUUAAAGAACUGUUUAUGCUAAGCUGUUUAGACUUUAUCAGCUAAUCUGUUUAGUUUUGAGCUUUUCUUUAAUGCACUUUUCAGUUAACAAGUCAACAUCAAUUUCUUUUGCUGUAAAAAAGCUUGAGGAAGGUGGCUUGAGAUUCGUCUUAAGUGUUUAUAGCCUCUUGCCUAUGCAGUCGGAGAGAUUGAGGUCUGCAGCGUAGAUCCUUCGGGGCUAAAUGCAUUUGUGCUAAGUUAUAGCAUUUUCAUAGACAACUUGUUGACUAUGAUUUAGUCAUGUCGGCUUACUCGCUUAUGCUAUUUUACCUACGCUUAGGAUGUUGAGCGCAUGUCUCUCUCU